UCUUAUUUUAUGGCUUUAAAGACUUAUUUCUAUUUUACAUUUAUUACUAUUUGUAUUGCCAGAAUUUUCUUUUAUUUGCAUUUUAUUGGUGUCCCUUCAAACCACACAUGCUGUAUUUUGAUUUAUGUGUCACACAUUUGGAGAUUUGCCUUCCAUAAUCAAUACAUGGUUGGACUUUUUUUUUUGUAUAUUCUCAUGAUUUCUAAAAAAAAAUCUAGCCUAAGAUUUUUGUUUGCCAAGACAAAAAAUUGAGCCUACAGGUCAAGAUUUCAGAUGGAGUGUGUCUACCAACAUUUUCCCCUAAAUGUCUCUGCAGUAUUAGAAUAAAUAAUAGAAAUAUUAACAAACCCAAGAUGAGGCCAGAACAUGCCACUAUUGAUAGAACUAAAAAUUAGAGGAGACUUUGAUUGAGAUUUGACUAAAAAAUAAUUCAGGACAAAGAAUCUUUUGCCCAACCUUAUAAAAUUAAAGUUAUCUUUAAUUAUUUCUCCUAGAAACACACAUAAACUCCAAUCCUGCCACCAGUAUGCUAAAAUGAGUGGAAGUAAUUGUGAAACUUUAUUACUUAUCAUUUUAAAAAUUCUCAUGUAUUAUAAAAUAUAUGUGUUUGGAACUUUUCCCCUUCCCUGUGUUUAUACAAAAACCUGCCUUAGGGAGAAUUGCUUGAACCCGGGGGACGGAGGUUGCAGUGAGCAGAGAUCACGCCACUUCACCCCAGCCUGGGCAAAAGAGUGAAAUUCUAUCUCAAAAAAAAAUAAAGGAAAAAGAAAAAGAAAAAAGGAAGGAAGGAAGAAAGGAAGGAAGGAAAAAGAAAGAAAGAAAAGAAAGAAAGAAAGAAAAGAAAGAAAGAAAGAAAGAAAGAAAGAAAGAAAGAAGAAAGAAAGAAGAAAGAAAGAAAGAAAGAAAGAAAGAAAGAAAGAAAGAAAGAAAGAAAGAAAGAAAGAAAGAAAGAAGAAAGAAAAAGAAAGAAAAAAGAAAAAGAAAGAAAGCCUGCCUUUGGAAAUAUUUAGUACCAGAAUGAAGCCCUCACUAUAUAUCAGAAUAAUUUCACUGGAAGAUAAAGACAGAAUAGUGCCAGCCUCUGCACUUGCCUGGUUUUAUGAUCCAAAGACUGGUUUAGGAGUAUCUCAUUGGUGAAGCAGAAAGUCACUUGCCUGUACUGUAGCUGCAAGGGAGGCUGAGAAACCUUGGUCCAAUGGCUGGUAUAUUAAAAAGAGAAGACAGGGAGAUUAUAAGCACAAGACAGAAGGCCGUGUGAAGCUGGAGGCAGAGACUGGAGUUACGCUGCCAUAAACCAAGAAAUGCUGGAAGCUACCAGCAGCUGGAAGAGGCCAGGAUUCUCCCCUAGAGACUUUGGAACGAACAUGGCUACGCCAGCACCUUUGUUUCAAACAUCUGGGCUCCAGAAGU